rnacentral:rRNA from 1 species
UACAGAGGUCUCAAGCGUUGUUCGGAUUCAUUGGGCGUAAAGGGUGCGUAGGCGGCGUGGUAAGUCGGGUGUGAAAAUCUCGGAGCUUAACUCCGAAACUGCAUUCGAUACUGCCGUGCUUGAGGACUGGAGAGGAGACUGGAAUUUACGGUGUAGCGGUGAAAUGCGUAGAUAUCGUAAGGAAGACCAGUGGCGAAGGCGGGUCUCUGGACAGUUCCUGACGCUGAGGCACGAAGGCCAGGGGAGCAAACAGG